GGUUAAGCGACUAAGCGUACACGGUGGAUGCCCUGGCAGUCAGAGGCGAUGAAGGGCGUGCUAAUCUGCGAUAAGCGCCGGUAAGGUGAUAUGAACCGUUAUAACCGGCGAUACCCGAAUGGGGAAACCCAGUGUGAUUCGUCACACUAUCAUUAACUGAAUCCAUAGGUUAAUGAGGCGAACCGGGGGAACUGAAACAUCUAAGUACCCCGAGGAAAAGAAAUCAACCGAGAUUCCCCCAGUAGCGGCGAGCGAACGGGGAGGAGCCCAGAGCCUGAAUCAGCAUGUGUGUUAGUGGAAGCGUCUGGAAAGGCGCGCGAUACAGGGUGACAGCCCCGUACACAAAAGCGCAUGUGCUGUGAGCUCGAUGAGUAGGGCGGGACACGUGGUAUCCUGUCUGAAUAUGGGGGGACCAUCCUCCAAGGCUAAAUACUCCUGACUGACCGAUAGUGAACCAGUACCGUGAGGGAAAGGCGAAAAGAACCCCGGCGAGGGGAGUGAAAAAGAACCUGAAACCGUGUACGUACAAGCAGUGGGAGCACCCUUUGGGGUGUGACUGCGUACCUUUUGUAUAAUGGGUCAGCGACUUAUAUUCUGUAGCAAGGUUAACCGUAUAGGGGAGCCGAAGGGAAACCGAGUCUUAACCGGGCGUUAAGUUGCAGGGUAUAGACCCGAAACCCGGUGAUCUAGCCAUGGGCAGGUUGAAGGUUGGGUAACACUAACUGGAGGACCGAACCGACUAAUGUUGAAAAAUUAGCGGAUGACCUGUGGCUGGGGGUGAAAGGCCAAUCAAACCGGGAGAUAGCUGGUUCUCCCCGAAAGCUAUUUAGGUAGCGCCUCGUGAAUUCAUCUCCGGGGGUAGAGCACUGUUUCGGCUAGGGGGCCAUCCCGGCUUACCAACCCGAUGCAAACUGCGAAUACCGGAGAAUGUUAUCACGGGAGACACACGGCGGGUGCUAACGUCCGUCGUGAAGAGGGAAACAACCCAGACCGCCAGCUAAGGUCCCAAAGUCAUGGUUAAGUGGGAAACGAUGUGGGAAGGCCCAGACAGCCAGGAUGUUGGCUUAGAAGCAGCCAUCAUUUAAAGAAAGCGUAAUAGCUCACUGGUCGAGUCGGCCUGCGCGGAAGAUGUAACGGGGCUAAACCAUGCACCGAAGCUGCGGCAGCGAACGUAUCACUUAAAGCGAUUCAGCGGGUUACGAUUGACGGAGCGAAGCGACGUCAAAGCGUAUACAAAGUCGAGUCGGUUUAAGGAUACGUUCGUUGGGUAGGGGAGCGUUCUGUAAGCCUGUGAAGGUGUGUCGUGAGGCAUGCUGGAGGUAUCAGAAGUGCGAAUGCUGACAUAAGUAACGAUAAAGCGGGUGAAAAGCCCGCUCGCCGGAAGACCAAGGGUUCCUGUCCAACGUUAAUCGGGGCAGGGUGAGUCGACCCCUAAGGCGAGGCCGAAAGGCGUAGUCGAUGGGAAACGGGUUAAUAUUCCCGUACUUGGUGUUACUGCGAAGGGGGGACGGAGAAGGCUAUGUUGGCCGGGCGACGGUUGUCCCGGUUUAAGCGUGUAGGUGUGUGUUCCAGGUAAAUCCGGUUCACUUUAACACUGAGGCGUGACGACGAGGCACUACGGUGCUGAAGCAACAAAUGCCCUGCUUCCAGGAAAAGCCUCUAAGCAUCAGGUAACAUCAAAUCGUACCCCAAACCGACACAGGUGGUCAGGUAGAGAAUACCAAGGCGCUUGAGAGAACUCGGGUGAAGGAACUAGGCAAAAUGGUGCCGUAACUUCGGGAGAAGGCACGCUGACACGUAGGUGAAGUGAUUUACUCAUGGAGCUGAAGUCAGUCGAAGAUACCAGCUGGCUGCAACUGUUUAUUAAAAACACAGCACUGUGCAAACACGAAAGUGGACGUAUACGGUGUGACGCCUGCCCGGUGCCGGAAGGUUAAUUGAUGGGGUCAGCGCAAGCGAAGCUCCUGAUCGAAGCCCCGGUAAACGGCGGCCGUAACUAUAACGGUCCUAAGGUAGCGAAAUUCCUUGUCGGGUAAGUUCCGACCUGCACGAAUGGCGUAAUGAUGGCCAGGCUGUCUCCACCCGAGACUCAGUGAAAUUGAACUCGCUGUGAAGAUGCAGUGUACCCGCGGCAAGACGGAAAGACCCCGUGAACCUUUACUAUAGCUUGACACUGAACAUUGAGCCUUGAUGUGUAGGAUAGGUGGGAGGCUUUGAAGCGUGGACGCCAGUCUGCGUGGAGCCGACCUUGAAAUACCACCCUUUAAUGUUUGAUGUUCUAACGUGGACCCGUGAUCCGGGUUGCGGACAGUGUCUGGUGGGUAGUUUGACUGGGGCGGUCUCCUCCUAAAGAGUAACGGAGGAGCACGAAGGUUGGCUAAUCCUGGUCGGACAUCAGGAGGUUAGUGCAAUGGCAUAAGCCAGCUUGACUGCGAGCGUGACGGCGCGAGCAGGUGCGAAAGCAGGUCAUAGUGAUCCGGUGGUUCUGAAUGGAAGGGCCAUCGCUCAACGGAUAAAAGGUACUCCGGGGAUAACAGGCUGAUACCGCCCAAGAGUUCAUAUCGACGGCGGUGUUUGGCACCUCGAUGUCGGCUCAUCACAUCCUGGGGCUGAAGUAGGUCCCAAGGGUAUGGCUGUUCGCCAUUUAAAGUGGUACGCGAGCUGGGUUUAGAACGUCGUGAGACAGUUCGGUCCCUAUCUGCCGUGGGCGCUGGAGAACUGAGGGGGGCUGCUCCUAGUACGAGAGGACCGGAGUGGACGCAUCACUGGUGUUCGGGUUGUCAUGCCAAUGGCACUGCCCGGUAGCUAAAUGCGGAAGAGAUAAGUGCUGAAAGCAUCUAAGCACGAAACUUGCCCCGAGAUGAGUUCUCCCUGAGACUUAAAGUCUCCUGAAGGAACGUUGAAGACGACGACGUUGAUAGGCCGGGUGUGUAAGCGCAGCGAUGCGUUGAGCUAACCGGUACUAAUGAACCGUGAGGCUUAACCUU
rnacentral:rRNA from 1 species